rnacentral:rRNA from 1 species
GACGAACGCUGGCGGCGUGCUUAACACAUGCAAGUCGAACGGAAAGGCCCUGCUUUUGUGGGGUGCUCGAGUGGCGAACGGGUGAGUAACACGUGAGUAACCUGCCCUUGACUUUGGGAUAACUUCAGGAAACUGGGGCUAAUACCGGAUAGGAGCUCCUGCUGCAUGGUGGGGGUUGGAAAGUUUCGGCGGUUGGGGAUGGACUCGCGGCUUAUCAGCUUGUUGGUGGGGUAGUGGCUUACCAAGGCUUUGACGGGUAGCCGGCCUGAGAGGGUGACCGGGCUCAUUGGGAACGAGAGACCGCCCCAACCACCUAGGGGAGGGGGAGGUGGGAAAUAUUGCAAAUGGGGGGAAGGCCUGAUCAAAAAACGCCGCGGGGGGAAUGACGCCUUCCGGGUUGAAAACCCUUUUCGCCUGUACCGAGGCGGGGGUAAGGGUAAUGGUAAAAAAGGCCCCGGCAAACAACGG